UACGGAGGGUGCAAGCGUUAAUCGGAAUUACUGGGCGUAAAGCGCGCGUAGGCGGCUAAGUAAGCCGGUUGUGAAAGCCCCGGGCUCAACCUGGGAAUGGCAUCCGGAACUGUUUAGAUAGAGUGCAGAAGAGGAAGGUAGAAUUCCCGGUGUAGCGGUUAAAUGCGUAGAGAGCGGGAGGAAUACCAGUGAUGAAGGCGGCCUUCUGGUCUGACACUGACGCUGAGGUGCGAGAGCGUGGGUAGCAAACAGG
rnacentral:misc_RNA from 1 species